GACGAACGCUGGCGGCGUGCCUAAUACAUGCAAGUCGAACGAACCGCGACUAGGUGCUUGCACUUGGUCAAGGUGAGUGGCGAACGGGUGAGUAACACGUGGGUAACCUACCUCAUAGUGGGGGAUAACAGUCGGAAACGACUGCUAAUACCGCAUAGGACAUAGGAUCACAUGAUCCAGUGAGGAAAGGUGGCGCAAGCUAUCGCUAAGAGAUGGACCCGCGGUGCAUUAGCUAGUUGGUAGGGUAAAGGCCUACCAAGGCGAUGAUGCAUAGCCGACCUGAGAGGGUGAUCGGCCACAUGGGGACUGAGACACGGCCCAAACUCCUACGGGAGGCAGCAGUGGGGAAUCUUCCGCAAUGGACGCAAGUCUGACGGAGCAACGCCGCGUGAGUGAAGAAGGUCUUCGGAUCGUAAAGCUCUGUUGUUAGAGAAGAACAGCGCAUAGAGUAACUGUUAUGCGUGUGACGGUAUCUAACCAGAAAGCCACGGCUAACUACGU
rnacentral:rRNA from 1 species